UACGGGGGGGGCAAGCGUUGUUCGGAAUUACUGGGCGUAAAGGGUUCGUAGGUGACCAACUAAGCCAGACGUGAAAUCCCCUCAGCUUAACUGGGGAACUGCGUCUGGGACUGGAUGGCUUGAGUGCAGGAGAGGAACGCGGAAUUCCAGGUGUAGCGGUGAAAUGCGUAGAUAUCUGGAGGAACACCGGUGGCGAAGGCGGCGUUCUGGACCAAUAUUGACGCUGAGGAGCGAAAGCCAGGGGAGCAAACGGG
rnacentral:rRNA from 1 species